rnacentral:misc_RNA from 1 species
UUUCCGUAGGUGAACCUGCGGAAGGAUCAUUACCGAGUACCGGUGCCCUCUGGGCGCCUACUCCCACCCUUUGUGAACUUAUCUCUGUUGCUUUGGCGGGCCGGGUGCCCACGCGCCGCCGGCCCAGGCUGGAGAGCGCCCGCCAGAGGACCCCAAACUCUGAAUGUUAGUGUCGUCUGAGUACUAUCUAAUAGUUAAAACUUUCAACAACGGAUCUCUUGGUUCUGGCAUCGAUGAAGAACGCAGC